rnacentral:rRNA from 1 species
UACGUAGGGUGCAAGCGUUGUCCGGAAUUAUUGGGCGUAAAGAGCUCGUAGGCGGUUCGUCGCGUCGGCUGUGAAACCCGGAGCUCAACUCCGGGCCUGCAGUCGAUACGGGCGGACUUGAGUGUUGCAGGGGAGACUGGAAUUCCUGGUGUAGCGGUGAAAUGCGCAGAUAUCAGGAGGAACACCGGUGGCGAAGGCGGGUCUCUGGGCAGUAACUGACGCUCAUGCACGAAAGCGUGGGGAGCAAACAGG